rnacentral:rRNA from 1 species
GAUGAACGCUAGCGGGAGGCCUAAUACAUGCAAGUCGAACGGUAAGGUCCUUCGGGAUACACGAGUGGCAAACGGGUGCGUAACGCGUACGGAACAUGCCUCUAUCAGAGAGAUAGCCCUGGGAAACUGGGUAUAAUACCUCAUAGUAUUGUAUUGCCGCAUGGUAUUUACAAUUAAAGCUCCGGCGGAUAGAGAUUGUCGUGCGUCCCAUUAGCUAGUUGGUAAGGUAACGGCUUACCAAGGCGACGAUGGGUAACUGGUUUGAGAGGAUGAUCAGUCACACUGGAACUGAGACACGGUCCAGACUCCUACGGGAGGCAGCAGUAGGGAAUAUUGGACAAUGGACGCAAGUCUGAUCCAGCCAUCCCGCGUGCAGGAUUAAGGCCCUCUGGGUUGUAAACUGCUUUUAUUAGUAGAAGAAAACCUCAGAUUUAUCUGAACUUGACGGUAUCUAAUGAAUAAGCACCGGCUAACUCCGUGCCAGCAGCCGCGGUAAU